UUCUCGUGUCUUCCCUAUGAGCUUCCCCCGCCGGCGCUCCUGAUCUUCCAUGGCAAAGGUGCUGAUGGCGGCGGCGAUAGCUGCUCCCCCCGCCGCCCGACCAUCCCCACUUCCGCUUCCACCGUGGGCUCUUUCUCUGGCGCCCCUUUUUCCCCCGCCCGCCCUGCUGGGCUAGUGUUCCCCGCCGGCGCGCUGGUCCUGGCUACGGCCGGCGCCCAACCGCUCCCGAUCUCCUCCUCCCUCCUCGUGAUUCCGUGGCCUAACGCCUUGGCCACACCCGCUUCCACGCCACUUCGGCCGCCGCCUUGCCGCACCUUGCGCAGCUCCAAUCCCUGGUCCCCGCCUCCUCCACAUCACGUCUCCGUCGCCCCCUCCAACAGCCCCGGCUUGCCCUACCUCGAUCUCCGUGCAACGGGAGCAUCUCCCUACGACAAGGUCUGCGUGAUGGAGCUCCCCUACAGCCAUGCGUUGUAGGUGCUCAACUUGGUGAUGAAAAAGAACCUCUUCUAGGGGCGUAAGAUUCUGAGUGAGCAAAGGGUACUGGUAGGAUGAGGCUCCAAUGGAGAGAGCUUUCCAUGCCCUUCGUUUUUGUUUCAGUUCUGAUGCACACAGUACACCAACUGCUUGAUGUAUUUCCCAAACAAAAGAUUGAGUACCUAUAUUCUUGUUCUAUCUAUUUUUUUACGGCUAACCAAUACCAGUAUCCACAUAUUUUGAGCUUAUUCCAGGCCGUGAGAUUCGUCAGUAGCCAACGGGCACUGCCAGGACCAGCCUAAAAUGGAGGAAACUCACAUGUUUCAUGCCUUUCUUUUUUUUUCUUCUGACUUCAAUUCUGGUACACACCAGUGUGUGCAGGUCAGCUGAUACAUGUGUUCAUACACAAGCAUGGAUUAUCUCCACAAAAGAGAUGCAGAGCUUGCCAUUUGAAAAGGAUCUACAUGGAGACAUGGAGGUGCAAGAGGUGAUCCUGUCCAGUCAGCGAUGAGAAUGUGAAAGUGCCAACCUCCGAAAACUUAAUAUUGUUUUGUAUUUAUAAUAUGUUGUGUUAAACCUAUAUGUCCCAGCCAAUAGAUUGCAUAUUAUCCAAAAGGUGCCUACACCUACCUCUUUUGAUCUGUCCACAGCUGCCGACAUGCUGCUCCGAUCUAGCUACAUAAAUAAAAUGUAUUCGGAAAAAAAUACUUGAUUAUUGUCUACAUUGCUCUUUUCGUAUAGCUCAAAUAAAAUCCAUUGAUUUCAUCCUGAUCCAGUGAACAGGUCACAAUUCCGUGCUGGAAUGGAGCUAACCAAUCUGUCAAUCUUGCAAAGCAUAUCAUCUAUGUAUUUGUGUUCUGAUUUUAGAAUAUUAGAGCAACUGCUGAUUUCCAAGAUGACUCCGUUACUUAUAAUUCUGCCCUUGUACUACUUUACUCGAGAAUUGUGAACAACCAUUUUUACCCAUGAUGACUGCUGCAUGCACUCCAUCUGGUUCGUGAAUAGGUCAUGUGCAUACUUCAGGUAAACUUCGUUGGCGAUGACUAUGGGUCAGCCAAAGUAGAGCCACCAUGCUGAAGCAAUGGAUAGGUUAUUUUGAGAUGCAUCCCAUGAACAUGCAUUUAAAUUCUUUUAUCCUUUUAUAAAAUAGGGAACUUCUUAUUAUCCUGUUGUGUGAUUGCAAUGGAUCUUAUGUCUGUUAAUUUUUUGUUGUGCAAGAAAGAGAGGAAAUGAGGUAAGCGGAUGUGCAGAACUCAAAUAGAGUAUGGGUGAGCCUGAAGAAAUCUGAAAUCUUAUUUCAUCAGUCUUUGCCAAUUUAUGUUCCAACAAUGUAGCUCUUAUAGUUCACAUAUAAAAUGACAUCACGGGAAUUUCAUCAUAUGUAUUUGCCCCCUGGUGUGCUGCAGUUCUGAAUUGUAUUUUUUGGCUGCCGGUGAACUUUAAGUGUGAGUUCUCUGCAUACAUUAGCAUUUCUAUUCCCGCCAGUAUCUUUCAUUUUCAAUGAUUAGCUCACCACCAUAACUGAUGUUAUAAUGUUUACUGAAUAACGAGCAUCAUAGUAUAUAAUGUCACUAUAAAAAGUUGGUAAACAAAUAUUGAGUUCUUCUGCAGGAACAUCUGUAACUGUAUCUCUAAUUGAUCUUCUGUGUAAUUUGUUCUGUUAUUUUGGCUUAGAGUGUACAAUUUUUAUAGGGUUUCCAAAUAUGAAUCUACACACGUAUUGUUCUUUACAAACUAUGUUGCUCCUGAAUAGCUGACAAUUUCCAUAAUAUUCUCCCCUUGAUCAUUCAUUUUCCAAUUUAAAGUGCUCCUUGCUUCUUAUUGUCUGCUACAAUUUCAAACCUGUCAGAUAGUGGUUUUCCCUCAUUGAAAACAAUUUUUAAUUA